GACGAACCGUGCGAACGUUAUUCGGAAUCACUGGGCUUAAAGCGCGUGUAGGCGGGACGGCACGUCGGUCGUUGAAAGCCCCCGGCUCAACCGGGGAACCGGCGCCGAUACGACCGUCCUGGAGGGACGUAGGGGCCUGGAACUUCCGGUGGAGCGGUGAAAUGCGUUGAGAUCGGAAGGAACGCCCGUGGCGAAAGCGAGGUCCUGGACGUUUUCUGACGCUGAGACGCGAAAGCCAGGGGAGCGAACGGG
rnacentral:rRNA from 1 species